rnacentral:lncRNA from 1 species
UUUUUAUUGGCCAUGUGACUUGUUUGGCCAAUGAUAUAUGAACAGAAGUGCCAUCAACACAGGAUGAAAAUAUCCUGGCUGACAGAACAGAAGAAGAGAGACCAGACCAUACCAGCCAUCUCACAGACUUGCAGUGAGAAGCAAAGCUAUUCCAAUUAAAAAUUAGGCUUCAACAAGUCAAGCUCCAGCCAAUCCAGAAACAUAUAGUGGCAACGCACAGGAGGUCUGAAAGUAGAUUGUCUGGGUUCAAAGAUGAUCUCUGCCAAUUGCCAGAUGUGUGAUCUUGGAUUUUUUAGCCUGCCACUCUUGAGCAGAGUACUGCCAUCCAAUUUGACUGCCCAACCUCUCCACCACCUGUGAAACACAAAUAACAGCAUUUCCUUUUCCAGGUGAGACUCAUCUUAGACCCAGUCAACCUGAGCUGAGAAAGACAAAGAAUAGUAAGUUAAGCCAGCACUGAAACACACCUCAUCAACUUCCUACUUUGCUAUGAAAGCCCCAAUUACAAAUAUCUCAUACCCUUUAUGCCAAAUGCAACUCUAGCAUCUGAAUUUUGGCUCAGAAAAUAUACACUCCUUGACUUUUCCCCUUGACCUAAGGGGCAAAACGCUGGCCCUAGAGUCAUACAUACCCACUCAUCUGGUUAUCAGCCCAUGGCUUUAGCCAAGUUAUGCAAUGUCUCUAAACUUCAGCUCCCUCAUCAUUAAAAUGGGCAUGACAACAUCUACCUUACAGAAGGUUUGUGAAGAUUAAUAUUGUCUAUGCAAACUCCCAACGCAAUGCAGGUAGUAGCUCAAAGAAUGCUCAUUUUCUUCCUGGCUGAUCACACAUACACAAAUAGAGGUGGAAAGAAGAAACCUCGUUCUGAUGUUUUCUGGAUGAUAAAAAGAGGAAAGAGCUACAGGUCUUUCAUGACCUUCGAGAUCAUCUAAGGAAAGAAGAGGGCCAUGCACAAACUCACUGGCCAAAACUGUCUCCUUGGAAGCCACUCUUUCAUUCAGAGACACCAUGUUGACAAUGGCAAGAGGGAGGAGACUGAUUCCUUUAUGUUGUACACCUGAUUGUCUUUUAAGACAAGGAUGAAAUGAUAGUUUUGUCCAUUUAUCUUCACAGGACAACUUACAACUGUGAUUCAGUUUGUAGAAGAAGAGAAACACACUAUUUCUACUAUUUUUAUUUUUUAAGGGAAUAGCGGAAGAAAUUUACAUGGCUAAAGAGGACCAACGAUGAAAUUACUUUUAAAAGAACAGAGAAUGCUGGGAGCAGUGGCUCACACCUGUAAUCCCAGCACUUUGGGAGG